CCUACGGGAGGCAGCAGUGGGGAAUAUUGCACAAUGGGGGCAACCCUGAUGCAGCGACGCCGCGUGAGGGAAGAAGUCUCUCGGUAUGUAAAGCUCUAUCAGCAGGGAAGAAAAUGACGUUAUCUGUCUAAGAAGCCCCGGCUAACUACGUGCCAGCAGCCGCGGUAAUACGCAGGGGGCAAGCGUUAUCCGGAUUUACUGGGUGUAAAGGGAGCGUAGACGGCAGGACAAGUCAGGAGUGAAAUCCCGGGGCUUAACCCCGGAACUGCAUUGGAAACUGUGCGGCUUGAGUACAGGAGGGGUAGGCGGAAUUCCUGGUGUAGCGGUGAAAUGCGUAGAUAUUAGGAGGAACACCGGUGGCGAAGGCGGCUUGCUGGACUGCCACUGACGUUGAUGCUCGAAAGUGUGGGUAUCAAACAGGAUUAGAUACCCUUGUAGUC
rnacentral:rRNA from 1 species